rnacentral:rRNA from 1 species
AUACAAAGCUGUUCGCCAGAGAACUACAAGUGAAAAACUUAAAACUCCAAGGACUUGGCGGUGCUCCACACCACCCUAGAGGAGUCUGUCCUAUAAUCGAUACCCCCCGUUUCACCUUACCAUUUUUUGCAGCUCAGCCUAUAUACCGCCGUCGCCAGCUUACCUUAUGAAAGACCAAAAGUAAGCAAAAGAGCUACAAGCUAACACGUCAGGUCAAGGUGUAGCACAUAAAAUGGAAGAGAUGGGCUACAUUUUCUUAUACAGAAAAUACGAACACUACAGUGAAAUCCGUACUUGAAGGAGGAUUUAGCCGUAAGGCAAACAAGAGAAUUUGCCUAAACCCCGCUCUGGAGCGCGC